GUAUCUAUGUUGAUUGUAGACAGCAGAGUGUGAACAAGACUUUUAUUUUGGUCUGGCGAGGUGACGUCAUAAGGACGCGUCGCGCUCCUGCAGCUGGUCUUGAAAAAGAUAAACUCCUGUGAAGUGACUGAGAUCCACAUGGCACUUAUAAAGAUGGAGUUUAUUAAAGAGGAGAGUGAAGACAUGAAGAUUGAAGAAGCUUUAAAAGUCAAACAUGAAGAUACUGAGGAACAAACAGACCUGGUGGCACUGAAUGAAACCGAAGAGAAAGAUCUGCAUGAGAAACAUCAUGACUUCACAACUGGAGAAAAAUCUUUCAAUUGCUCAGAGACGGAAAAGACUUCCUCUCAGAAAAGAGCUGGGAAGACUGGAACUAGAAAAUGUUUCACCUGCCAACAAUGUGGAAAGUGUUUAAGCAAAAAAGAUAACCUUAAAAUCCAUAUGAGAGUUCACACUGGAGAGAAGCCUUACAUGUGCCAUCAGUGUGGAAAGAGCUUCCCACGAAACGCCAGUCUAGAGAUUCACAUGAGAACUCACACCGGAGAGAAGCCUCAUAUCUGCCCUCUCUGUGGAAUGGGCUUCACGUAUAAAGGAACGCUUUACAUCCACAUGAGAGUUCACACUGGAGAGAAGCCAUUUGAAUGUGGUCAGUGUGGGAAGCGUUUCCCACAUAAAGCAACCUUUGAUAUUCACAUGAGAAUUCACACCGGAGAGAAGCCAUACACCUGCCAGCUCUGUGGAAAAACUGUGAAUCGGAAAGGAAGUCUUGUAGUUCACAUGAGAGUUCACACCGGAGAGAAGCCUUACACCUGCCAACUGUGUGGAAAAACUAUGACUCAGAAAGGAAAUCUUAUAGCUCACAUGAAAGUUCACACUGGAGAGAAGCCUUACACCUGUAAUCAGUGUGAAAAAGGAUUUGCACGUAAAGAAUUUCUUCGUAAGCACAUAGAGAUUCACUCAAGAGAGAGCUGCUUAAUAUGCCAUCAGUGUGGAAGGAGAUUCACAGACAGGGAACAGUUAAAGAAGCACGUAAUAACUCAUAUCGGACAGAAGCCAUUCAUGUGUCAUCACUGUGGAAAGAGUUGCUCAAGAAAAGCAAACCUCGAGACUCACAUGAGAAUUCACACUGGAGAGAAACCCUUCACAUGCAAACAGUGUGGAAAGAGUUUCAGACAGAGAACAGCUCUUCAGAUUCACAAGAGAGUUCACACCAAAGAGAGGCCUUCUCACGCAUCUUCAGUGCGAGUUUCACAUGUCAAAUAGAUCUGAAAAAUCGAGACAGCAGACACUACAGCAUUGCUUGACAUCUCUGAAAGACUGGUAGCAUGUGGAUACACUGGACCGCUAAACAUCUGACAGAAAGGAGGACAUUGUCAGUGCUGUUGUCCUCUGUAUGAAUCCUUCCAAUGCUGCCGCAGAUGUGCAAAGGAUUGGAACUCCAUGGCCUUCAUGAAAUUAUGAAAAAAGCCGUUAUUUGUUCCUGGACGUUUUGAAAAACAGCCCGAUGCAGAUUUCCUCACAAUGGCCCUCUCACCCAUUUUAAGUGAGAUGGGUUCAGUGAAGCAGAGGGAAUCACAAAUUAUUUAACCAUUUACGAGACUUCAUUCAGAGCCUUGAAGAUGAAGAAGAAGGAAGCACUAGUACAGAGCACAGAGGUGAGGAUGACAACGAACGAACAUCUAAAUCAGAGGACUGCACCCACGGAGAUGAACAACAAGACAAGAAUACUGUCAAAAGCUUCAUGCAGUGGCUGACUGGUCAGGGACACGUUCCCAUUACAUCCACACAGAGAGAAACAUUCAACAUACAUGUAGAAUUUGAUCACGACCGUCAGUUGCAAUAUGGUCAACACAGUUUGUGCCGCCCUCUCGUUAAUGCAUGCUCCUGUACCAUCACCUUAGGGACCUACAAAGAGUUUCUUUGCUUUAUGCGACAGGCUGUGAUCAAAAGUAAAGAAUUUGGUCGUUCAUGAGAUGAAUUCUCAGUGUAGGGUUUACUUCAUAUGCUGUUUACGCUGUUAUACUCUUAUCAGUUUGUAAAAAAAAAAACAGUUUUCAGAUGUUCAGCUGUAGUUUAUUUCUUUAUAAUCGUUUAGUUCAUUACGGGCAUGUAUUGAUUGCUGGCAGAUUGUUACACAUUCAAUUCAGAAAUGAAGAGAAAGGUAUAUUUAUUUACAGUCAACUUAAAUGAGUGUUGAAGUCAAAAAACAAUGCAAUUAAAACAGCUGAGAUGAUUUAUUAUUAUUAAAUGUAAAAUACUUUGUUACUUCGGUGACAUUAAAAAGCUACCUACAGAUGUACUGGUCAAAAAAGUCACAAACUAUAUUAUAAACAAUAUUUUAUUGCACCACUUUUAGGUUUGAUUAUGGUGUGUUUUUGUCAUAGCUUUGUUUUCACUAAAAUAUCAGUGAGGUUACAAUGCAAUGUCACAAACUUUAUUUCCAUCAUGAGUAAAAUUACUCCAGACUUGCAGUGAGCUUCAGGUAAAUAGGUGGUAAAUUCAUGUGUGACAAUUAAGCCUUCCAUAACUUGUUCCUGAUUAACCUUACAUUUCCAUCCUAGAAUAUGACCAUGGGAUACAUCUUUCAACAUGGUUGUGUCCAAAUAACUGUUGCCAAACAUAUAAAAAGCCAGAAAAAUACUAAUACUUUAUACUAUGAUGCUUAUAAUAAUUUUAGGGGUAUAAAUCAAUAUAUAAAAACAUGUCAAUAGAUUGUGAUUUUUUUGGCUUGUGUUUUAGAAAAUCAAAUCUUUUUGUAAUUUUGACAAAACAUAUAUUGUUGGAAAGGUCUGAGAGUCAAGGUUCCAUAUUUGGUGACUGUUUUGCAAUAGAAGUGAUAUUG